rnacentral:rRNA from 1 species
GAUGAACGCUGGCGGCGUGCCUAAUACAUGCAAGUCGAGCGAAGCGGGGACGGGUGAGUAACACGUGGAUAACCUCCUAUAAGACUGGGAUAACUUCGGGAAACCGGAGCUAAACCGGAAACUUCUCGAUGGAUCCGCGCUGCAUUAGCUAGUUGGUAAGGUAACGGGCUACCAAGGCAACGAUGCAUAGCCGACCUGGGAGGGGGAUCGGCCACACUGGAACUGGGACACGGUCCAGACUCCUACGGGGUGCAGCAGUAGGGGAUCUUCCGCAAUGGGCGAAAGCCUGACGGAGCAAAGGCGCGGGAGUGAUGAAGGGCUUCGGGUCGGAAAACUCUGUUAUUAGGGAAGCGGUAACUAGUCAGAAAGCCACGGCUAACUACGGUCCAGCAGCCGCGGUAAUAC